CUCGAUUACAUCGGAAAUUAAUUUAAGCGUAUAAUAUUAUUUUUCAUAUCAUUCUACUAUACUUGAAUUUGAAGAAUGCGUAUUUUGGUUACUCUGUUUGCUUUGAUAGCUGUUGCAAAUGGUCAAUUUUUUCCAUACGUGGAAUACAUACCUUGGCCGCUGAUUUUCGGGAAUGAAUACGCAGCAUCUCUCGGCGGAGCUCCCGUGGGUUUCUACAGCCAAAGAGCAGGUCUUUAUGGACCAGAAAUAACAAGUGGCUCACUUGGUGGAACCAGCGUCGGGUUUUACAACAGGGAAUCAGCUGGAUACUGAAGAAAAAAUGUACAGAGUUCUUAAGGCUUGGCUAAGAAUUCUGAAAGAAAUGAAAACUACAAGAUUUGUCGAAUUUGUGCUGUCUCCUGCAUGCCUGGUGUCAUACUGCUGUCAUUUACUUAGCGCCCUUGUAUUUUUCUGCUUGAAAAAUAACGAAUUACAUGGAAAAUAUAUAAUGAUUGCCUUUCU